rnacentral:rRNA from 1 species
GACGUAGGGCGCGAGCGUUGUCCGGAUUUAUUGGGCGUAAAGAGCUCGUAGGCGGCUUGUUGCGUCGGCUGUGAAAACCCAUGGCUCAACCGUGGGCUUGCAGCCGAUACGGGCAGGCUAGAGUUCGGCAGGGGAGACUGGAAUUCCUGGUGUAGCGGUGAAAUGCGCAGAUAUCAGGAGGAACACCGGUGGCGAAGGCGGGUCUCUGGGCCGAUACUGACGCUGAGGAGCGAAAGCGUGGGGAGCGAACAGG